rnacentral:ncRNA from 1 species
AAUUGAAUAUGGGCUUACGGCGCUCGAAUAGAGCUUAAUUGGGAAGUCCGAGAGAAUCGGACGCGGUCCCGCCGCUGUAACUGGUGACGAAACCGGCAUUUAGCCACUGUCCCUAAUCAGGAUGGGAAGGCGCCGGGAAUAGGCCUGAACCAGAAGCCAGAAGACCUGCCGUAGAAACAACGCCCUC